UACGGGGGGGCAAGCGUUGUUCGGAAUUACUGGGCGUAAAGGGCGCGUAGGCGGUUGGAUAAGUCAGCUGUGAAAACCACGGGCUUAACUCGUGGCCUGCAGUUGAGACUGUCUGGCUUGAGUGUGGGAGAGGAGAGUGGAAUUCCGUGGUGUAGCGGUGAAAUGCGUAGAUAUCAGGAGGAACACCGGUGGCGAAGGCGGCAUCCUGGACCGGUAUUGACGCUGAGGCGCGAAAGCCAGGGGAGCAAACGGG
rnacentral:rRNA from 1 species